GACAAAUAUGGUCUAUGUAACAUGAAGUGGUCCAGCAUGCUCCCAAUCUGCCAAAGGCCAGAAAACGUGACCUUCCUUUUAAGACCGUACAGAAAAGAAAACCAACAAUGACAAAAAGUAAGAGAAGGAACUUUUCCUUCACCUAAAUUUUAUUAUUUUGCAACUCCCUCAGGUUUCACACCAGAAGACAUUCUUCUCACUGAAGUACAGUUAAGCCCCACAAAGUGCCAA